GGGGAAUAUUGCACAAUGGGGGAAACCCUGAUGCAGCCAUGCCGCGUGUGUGAAGAAGGCCUUCGGGUUGUAAAGCACUUUCAGCGAGGAGGAAAGGUUGAUGCCUAAUACGUAUCAGCUGUGACGUUACUCGCAGAAGAAGCACCGGCUAACUCCGUGCCAGCAGCCGCGGUAAUACGGAGGGUGCAAGCGUUAAUCGGAAUUACUGGGCGUAAAGCGCACGCAGGCGGUUGGAUAAGUUAGAUGUGAAAGCCCCGGGCUCAACCUGGGAAUUGCAUUUAAAACUGUCCAGCUAGAGUCUUGUAGAGGGGGGUAGAAUUCCAGGUGUAGCGGUGAAAUGCGUAGAGAUCUGGAGGAAUACCGGUGGCGAAGGCGGCCCCCUGGACAAAGACUGACGCUCAGGUGCGAAAGCGUGGGGAGCAAAC
rnacentral:rRNA from 1 species